AAUGCUUCUCUGCCUUUUGGCUAAGAUCAAAUGUAGUAUCUGUUCUUAUCAGUUUAAUAUCUGAUAAGUCCUCUAUCUGAGGAUAAUAUAUUAAAUGGAUAUUUAUUGUUGUAUUGCAGUUUCCCAAGUGCUUAAUACAGUGCUCUGCACACAGUAAGUGCUCAAUAAAGACCAUCAACUACUGUUUUUAUU